GACGAACGCUGGCGGCGUGCCUAAUACAUGCGAGUCGAACGAACUCUGGUAUUGAUUGGUGCUUGCAUCAUGAUUUACAUUUGAGUGAGUGGCGAACUGGUGAGUAACACGUGGGAAACCUGCCCAGAAGCGGGGGAUAACACCUGGAAACAGAUGCUAAUACCGCAUAACAACUUGGACCGCAUGGUCCGAGCUUGAAAGAUGGCUUCGGCUAUCACUUUUGGAUGGUCCCGCGGCGUAUUAGCUAGAUGGUGGGGUAACGGCUCACCAUGGCAAUGAUACGUAGCCGACCUGAGAGGGUAAUCGGCCACAUUGGGACUGAGACACGGCCCAAACUCCUACGGGAGGCAGCAGUAGGGAAUCUUCCACAAUGGACGAAAGUCUGAUGGAGCAACGCCGCGUGAGUGAAGAAGGGUUUCGGCUCGUAAAACUCUGUUGUUAAAGAAGAACAUAUCUGAGAGUAACUGUUCAGGUAUUGACGGUAUUUAACCAGAAAGCCACGGCUAACUACGUGCCAGCAGCCGCGGUAAUACGUAGGUGGCAAGCGUUGUCCGGAUUUAUUGGGCGUAAAGCGAGCGCAGGCGGUUUUUUAAGUCUGAUGUGAAAGCCUUCGGCUCAACCGAAGAAGUGCAUCGGAAACUGGGAAACUUGAGUGCAGAAGAGGACAGUGGAACUCCAUGUGUAGCGGUGAAAUGCGUAGAUAUAUGGAAGAACACCAGUGGCGAAGGCGGCUGUCUGGUCUGUAACUGACGCUGAGGCUCGAAAGUAUGGGUAGCAAACAGGAUUAGAUACCCUGGUAGUCCAUACCGUAAACGAUGAAUGCUAAGUGUUGGAGGGUUUCCGCCCUUCAGUGCUGCAGCUAACGCAUUAAGCAUUCCGCCUGGGGAGUACGGCCGCAAGGCUGAAACUCAAAGGAAUUGACGGGGGCCCGCACAAGCGGUGGAGCAUGUGGUUUAAUUCGAAGCUACGCGAAGAACCUUACCAGGUCUUGACAUACUAUGCAAAUCUAAGAGAUUAGACGUUCCCUUCGGGGACAUGGAUACAGGUGGUGCAUGGUUGUCGUCAGCUCGUGUCGUGAGAUGUUGGGUUAAGUCCCGCAACGAGCGCAACCCUUAUUAUCAGUUGCCAGCAUUAAGUUGGGCACUCUGGUGAGACUGCCGGUGACAAACCGGAGGAAGGUGGGGAUGACGUCAAAUCAUCAUGCCCCUUAUGACCUGGGCUACACACGUGCUACAAUGGAUGGUACAACGAGUUGCGAACUCGCGAGAGUAAGCUAAUCUCUUAAAGCCAUUCUCAGUUCGGAUUGUAGGCUGCAACUCGCCUACAUGAAGUCGGAAUCGCUAGUAAUCGCGGAUCAGCAUGCCGCGGUGAAUACGUUCCCGGGCCUUGUACACACCGCCCGUCACACCAUGAGAGUUUGUAACACCCAAAGUCGGUGGGGUAACCUUUUAGGAACCAGCCGCCUAAGGUGGGACAGAUGAUUAGGGUG
rnacentral:rRNA from 1 species